GCCGCCCUGUGAAGAGGGUGCCUUUCUUUCCCUUCGCCUUCUACCAGGAUUGUUAAGUUUCCUGAAGCCUUCCCAGCCACGUGGAACUGAUGGACAUGCGUCUUGUGACUAUGAGGUGACAAUGAUGUUAAUGACAUCUGAGUGGAAAGAAGAUGAAGCCUAGAUUCCUGAACACAUUCAGACCUGCCACAGCAACCUAGCUCUGAACUCCCUUCAAACAGAAUUUCACUCUUGUGGCCCAGGCUGGAGUGCAAUGGCGUGAUCUCAGCUCACUGCAACUUCUACCUCUCGGAUUCAAGUGAUUCUCCUGCCUCAGCCUCCCAGGUAGCUGGGUUUACAGGUAUGAGCCACCACACCCGG
rnacentral:lncRNA from 1 species